rnacentral:rRNA from 1 species
UACGUAGGGUGCGAGCGUUAAUCGGAAUUACUGGGCGUAAAGAGCGCGCAGGCGGUCGGAUUAGUCGCGUGUGAAAGCCCCCGGCUCAACUGGGGAGGGUCACGCGAUACUGUUCGACUCGAAGGCAGGAGAGGGAAGUGGAAUUCCCGGUGUAGUGGUGAAAUGCGUAGAUAUCGGGAGGAACACCAGUGGCGAAGGCGACUUCCUGGCCUGUUCUUGACGCUGAGGCGCGAAAGCUAGGGUAGCAAACGGG